AUCCUCUCAGAGUCGCACUUGGAGAGUUUCCAGUACUCUACCUGUCACGGUUACAGGAGGAAGAGUCGAGCAGAGGCCUGUCCAUUUCAUUCCUAGCUUGGUCAGUGACUAGUGAGUGGAAGGCAAUCUGCUACAAGU